rnacentral:lncRNA from 1 species
UUCGUUUGAGAUUCCGGAGAAAUUGCGUUACGUGCGGUGAAAAAGUACGUACGUUGAAAAAAUAUUAUAUUUGCUUUUGUACGUAAUAUUGCGUUCCGUAUAUCGCGAUGAGUCGAUUAUAAUAUAUAUUAUAAUAUCAAGUUGGACUGGGCUACUAUUAGUAGCAAAAUUACACUGUUGCUACCAGUUUUUUAGCCUUUGGAUCAACUCUUUUCAUUAUUUCUAACCAUUGGAUUAAAUACUAUAACCCAGUGGUGACCGCUCAACCCUAGGGGGACCACUCAACUCUAACCGACUAAUAUCAUCUUGAUCUUACAAUUUUUCAUCCAAGGGUUAAAAACUUGAUAGCAAAAAGAGCAUUUUUCUAUUAAUAGUAUUCCAGCCUAUAUAUAUAUAAUAAAUAUACUGUUAUUUAAUUUAUAAUUUAUAAAUAUAAAUUAUUAUAAUAAU